rnacentral:misc_RNA from 1 species
CGUAAACUAACUUCGGUUAAACGAUGUAUAGAUUCUUGCUGGAUUACAGGAGCUGCUGAGAGAUUCUAAUUGAAACAACUUCUCCAUCAGGUCCAGCUCUCAUCAUGUAGUACUUUGUAAGGAGUCCGUCGUUGACUUGUAAGUUGGUGUUGAUUGCAACUGAAUGAAAAGUUAUCAUCGCUUUUGGUUGAAAAUCAUCUGGUUCUCCUGUCCACAACUUAAGAUUAAAGAUGCCAGCUGAUGCACGGUCGUUGAGAUGUUUGAGAUCAAAAAUGCCUCCAGACGCUGCUUUCAUAGGUUUUUCAACUUUAUGAUUUCUUAUCAACUCGUACUUCCAGCUCCCAUCUUGAAAACCCUUAUACUGAAAAAGCUCUAUAUGCCUUACAUCUAAUGUCUG